AAUCAACGCUGGCGGCGUGCCUAACACAUGCAAGUCGAGCGAGAAAAGGGGAGCAAUCCUCUGAGUAAAGCGGCGCACGGGUGAGUAACACGUGGGUAAUCUGCCCUGAAGUGGGGAAUAACACCGGGAAACCGGUGCUAAUACCGCAUAUGAUCACGGUGUCUGCGGACACAGGGAUGAAAGGAGCAAAUUCGCUUCAGGAGGAGCCCGCGGCUGAUUAGCUAGUUGGUGAGGUAAUGGCUCACCAAGGCUACGAUCAGUAUCCGGUCUGAGAGGACGGUCGGACACACUGGGAACUGAGACACGGUCCAGACUCCUACGGGAGGCAG
rnacentral:rRNA from 1 species